rnacentral:rRNA from 1 species
CGCAUCUGUGCAUGCAGCAUAUCAAUAAGCGGAGGAAAAGAAACUAACAAGGAUUCCCCUAGUAACGGCGAGUGAAGCGGGAAGAGCUCAAAUUUGAAAUCUUAAAGGGUUUCCCUUUACGAAUUGUAGUUUAAAGAAGUGUUUACUGUUGAGGUUUUGGUAAAAGUUCUUUGGAAUAGGACAUCAUAGAGGGUGAGAAUCCCGUAUUUGACCUUUACUUUCAACUUUGUGAUACACUUUCAAAGAGUCGGAUUGUUUGGGAAUGCAGUCCAAAAUGGGUGGUAAAUUUCAUCUAAAGCUAAAUAUUGGCGAGGAGACCGAUAGCGAACAAGUACCGUGAGGGAAAGAUGAAAAGAACUUUGAAAAGAGAGUUAAACAGUACGUGAAAUUGUCAAAAGGGAAGCGUUUGACACCAGUGUUGUUUUUCUGAAAAUCAAUUAAAGAACUGUUUAUGCUAAGCUUGUUUAGACUUUAUCAGCUAAUCUGUUUAGUUUUGAGCUUUUCUUUAAUGCACUUUUCAGUUAACAAGUCAACAUCAAUUUCUUUUGCUGUAAAAAAGCUUGAGGAAGGUGGCUUGAGAUUCGUCUUAAGUGUUUAUAGCCUCUUGCCUAUGCAGUCGGAGAGAUUGAGGUCUGCAGCGUAGAUCCUUCGGGGCUAAAUGCAUUUGUGCUAAGUUAUAGCAUUUUAUAGACAACUUGUUGACUAUGAUUUGUCUUGUAGCUUACUCGCUUAUGUUAUUUUACCUACGCUUAGGAUGUUGAGCGCAUGUCUCUCUCU